GAUGAACGCUGGCGGCGUGCCUAAUACAUGCAAGUAGAACGCUGAAGGAGGAGCUUGCUCUUCUGGAUGAGUUGCGAACGGGUGAGUAACGCGUAGGUAACCUGCCUGGUAGCGGGGGAUAACUAUUGGAAACGAUAGCUAAUACCGCAUGACAACAGUUAUUGCAUGAUAACUGUUUAAAAGGGGCAACUGCUCCACUACCAGAUGGACCUGCGUUGUAUUAGCUAGUUGGUGAGGUAACGGCUCACCAAGGCGACGAUACAUAGCCGACCUGAGAGGGGGAUCGGCCACACUGGGACUGAGACACGGCACAGACUCCUACGGGAGGCAGCAGUAGGGAAUCUGCGGCAAGGGACGGAAGUCUGACCGAGCAACGCCGCGUGAGUGAAGAAGGUUUUCGGAUCGUAAAGCUCUGUUGUAAGAGAAGAACGAGUGUGAGAGUGGAAAGUUCACACUGUGACGGUAUCUUACCAGAAAGGGACGGCUAACUACGUG
rnacentral:rRNA from 1 species